rnacentral:lncRNA from 1 species
CAAUCUCCUUAUAUGUUUUUCUAUAGUUUUCAUUAAAGAUUGCAAUCAAGAGAGAGACAAGUUCAGAAUCUGGUUUAAGAAAAGAAUUAUUUACCUCUUACCAUAAUUUAAAUUUAAUUCAAUGUUUAUUCAAUUUCAUGGUAAAAUAUGUAUUUAUCAGUUUAAAAACAUUGAUAAGUGCUAUAGAAAGAUAAAUUAUUAAGCACUUAUCA